rnacentral:lncRNA from 1 species
GGCAGAGGGAGUGACAGCAGGGGUUCGGGCUGCUGUGGAGCCAGAAGCAGGGGGAAAGGGGAUGUCGGGCAGGGGUCUUUAGUGGAUGACUGGCUUUGAGAGCUUCUGGGUCGUCAUGUUUAGAAGGGGUGGAGUCCAGGUGAAGAGGGUGAGAACCACACCCUAGGGGAACAGGAGCUCCCCAGGGAGGUCCCACACCCUGAAGCCCCACCUACGCCUCGCCCCUGCACAGCCCCGCACUCUGCCAGCAGGGAGCGCACGCCCAGGUGCAAGGAGCUGGCACCUGGGCACACGCCUGGCCACACACCUGUGCAGAGCCGGUGGCAGGCCCUCCCGGCACAGGAAUGGCGCGCCCCCAGCUGCCGCCACUUCUGCUUUUGGUGCUGGUGCUGCCACUAAAAGCUAAUAAGAAUGACUCUAACAGUACUCCCUACACAGGUAUUACGACCUCAGAGUACAACAGUAUGGAGACAUCAUCUCUCAGCUCUCUGAUUUAUUCUCCCUUCACCCACAACACCCUCAGUUCAGGGGAACCCCCCAAAACCUACUCCAGCCCCCUGAGUUUGGAGACAGGCUCCAUGACCCACCUCAGCCCCUCAAGUUCAGGGGCAACCCCUACCAUGCAGCCUAGCCCCAGCUCCACAGAGUCAAGAAUGAUUCCCUCGUCCCCACAACCAGAGACAACCACGCACCCUAGUUCUGGUUCCCCCAAUGGAGAGCUCACCCCCUCUUCCCAUUCCACCCUCCCCAGUUCCGAAUCCCUGACCCCGCACUGGAGCCCCACUUCCCACAGCCCCGGAACGGAGCCCUUGACCUCCACUGACCAGACCUUGGAGCCCCCUGGCCCAGCUCCAGGUGACACUGGGUCCCCUGAGUUACACAGGAACCCGGCUGUGGUGGUGGUCGUGUGUUUGCUGGUGUCUCUUUUGCUCAUCGGGUCUGUGGUCAUGGCUGUGAGGUUCUGUCACCGGGAUGAGUCCACAUUUGAGAAACUGGAUGAGGUGUCCAUGGUAAGGUAAGGGCUUGGCUGAGGGCUCAGCCCCUGGGGGCCAAGGCAGGGUUGGGGGAGCCACCCUCCCAAGCAGGACCAGCCUGGGCUGCAGAGCCCGUUGGUGUCUGAAUGACUCCCUGUGUGUUCCUUCCUCAGGGAUCCAUGAAUGACAGAUUGUCCUUUGCCCACCACCUCCAGGAGUGAGCCCUGAGGAGCCAACAGAGAUGCGGGCGUGCAUGGGGCUGGAGUGCCUGGGGAGGAGCAGAACCUGAGGAAAUAAACACCCUACCAUUCAUCCAAGGCCUCCUGAGUUAUGGAUUCGUGUGACAAACAUUAGCUGAGCACCUACUAUGUGCUGGGCUCUGUGCUGGAGUCACAGUGGGGACCAUGUCUUUACUCUCAGGGGAGCCACAGACUCAAGGCGGGGACAGAUAAGAAUCAGGAGAUCACUUGGCUGGGCGUGGUGGUUCACACCUGUAUCCCAGCACUUCGGGAGGCUGAGGCGGGCAGAUCUCCUGACCUCAGGAGUUUGAGACCAGCCGGGCUAACAUGGCGAAACUCUGUCUCUACUAAAAAUACAAAAAUUAGCUGAGCAUGGUGGCGGGUGCCUGUAAUCUCAGCUACUCAGGAGGCUGAGGCAGAGAAUCUCUUCAACCCAGGAGGCAGAGGUUGCAGUGAGCCGAGAUCACCCCACUGUACUCCAGCCUGGGCAACAGAGCAAGACUCCAUCUAAAAAAAUAAAAAGAAAAAGAAUCAGGAGAUCACAUGAGAUCUUUGCAGGUGGCACGGAAGGCCAUGGAGUCACAGACUGAGACUGUGGCCAAACCACAAGGGCUGCAGUGGCCAAACCACAAGAGUUGUGGUGUCCAGGUUUGCUGAGAAGGUAGGGAGGCCUCUUUGAGGAUGUAACUUUUUUUUUCUUUGAGAUAGGAUCUUGCUCUGUUGCCCAGGCUGGAGUGCAAUGGUGCACUCUCGGCUCACUGCAGCCUCAACCUCCCAGGCUCAAGUGAUCCUCCUGCCUCAACCUCCUGAGUAGCUGGGACUACAGGGGGAUAGUAUGCCUGGCUAAUUAAAAAAAAAAAAAAAAUUGGGGGCCGGGCAUGGUGGCUUAUGCCUGUAAUCCUAGUACUUUGGAAGGCCAAGGUAGGUGGAUCAUUUGAGGUCAGGAGUUCAAGACCAGCCUGGCCAACAUGGUGAAACCCCAUCUUUACUAAAAAUACAAAAAUUGGCUGGUGUGGUGGUGGGCGCCUGUAAUCCCAGCUACUAGGGAGGAUGAGGCAGGAGAAUUGCUUGAGCCUGGGAGGCAGAGGUUGCGGUGAGCCGAGAUUGCACCACUGCACUCCAGUCGAGGCGACAGAGUGAGACUCUGUCUCAAAACAAACAAACAAAACUUGGGGGCUGGGCAUGGCGGCUUACCACUGUAAUCUCAGUACUUUGAGAAGUUGAGGUGGGCGAAUUGCUUGACCUUGGUAGUUUGAGACCAGAUGGGGCAACGUGGCAG